rnacentral:tRNA from 1 species
GGGGCUGUAGCUCAGUGGCAGAGCACUUGCCUAGCAUGCGUGAGGCACUGGGUUAGAUCCUCAUCCCCA